rnacentral:rRNA from 1 species
AGCGUAGACGGAUGGACAAGUCUGAUGUGAAAGGCUGGGGCUCAACCCCGGGACUGCAUUGGAAACUGCCCGUCUUGAGUGCCGGAGAGGUAAGCGGAAUUCCUAGUGUAGCGGUGAAAUGCGUAGAUAUUAGGAGGAACACCAGUGGCGAAGGCGGCUUACUGGACGGUAACUGACGUUGAGGUUCGAAAGCGUGGGGAGCAAACA